UACGGGAGGGGCAAGCGUUGUUCGGAAUUACUGGGCGUAAAGGGCUCGUAGGCGGCCAACUAAGUCCGACGUGAAAUCCCCAGGCUUAACCUGGGAACUGCGUCGGAUACUGGAUGGCUUGAAUCCGGGAGAGGGAUGCGGAAUUCCAGGUGUAGCGGUGAAUGCGCAGAUAUCAGGAGGAACACCGAUGGCGAAGGCAGAUCUCUGGGCCGUAACUGACGCUGAGGAGCGAAAGCGUGGGGAGCGAA
rnacentral:rRNA from 1 species